AGCGAGAUAGAGCAAUGGUAGCUCGUUGGUUUCAUUUGCCAAAGGUUGCGGGUUCGACCCCCGCUCUCGCCUCUA
rnacentral:tRNA from 1 species